AUCUGCGACCCCAGGUCAGGCGGGAUUA
rnacentral:rRNA from 1 species